GAUGAACGCUGGCGGCGUGCCUAAUACAUGCAAGUCGAGCGAACAGAUGAGGAGCUUGCUCCUCUGACGUUAGCGGCGGACGGGUGAGUAACACGUGGAUAACCUACCUAUAAGACUGGGAUAACUUCGGGAAACCGGAGCUAAUACCGGAUAAUAUAUUGAACCGCAUGGUUCAAUAGUGAAAGACGGUUUUGCUGUCACUUAUAGAUGGAUCCGCGCCGCAUUAGCUAGUUGGUAAGGUAACGGCUUACCAAGGCAACGAUGCGUAGCCGACCUGAGAGGGUGAUCGGCCACCCUGGAACGUAGACACGGUCCAGACUCCUACGGGAGGCAGCAGUAGGGAAUCUUCCGCAAUGGGCGAAAGCCUGACGGAGCAACGCCGCGUGAGUGAUGAAGGUCUUCGGAUCGUAAAACUCUGUUAUUAGGGAAGAACAAAUGUGUAAGUAACUAUGCACGUCUUGACGGUACCUAAUCAGAAAGCCACGGCUAACUACGUG
rnacentral:rRNA from 1 species